AGCGGGAGUCAGACCUUUCCACAGGGGUUUCAUGUGGAGGUACUCCAUGACACGGCCUUUCGGAGAACAUCCCAGGCGUUGCCUACAGAUGGAGCAGACGGACACCACGAGCCUUCAUAGGGAGCUUGCGGGAUCCUGGCCACCCGGCCGUGAGCGCAGACACACCGAGUGUGGGAAAGCCUUAUUAUGUGUGUGUACACACUGGCUCGCCAAGAGUCCCUUCGCCAGGGUCUCUGGGCCAGGUCUCUGGGGAGUUCUGCUGUGGAAGUGACGUGGCCCCAGAUGCCAAUUCCAUCAAGGACUAUGGUCAAGAUCAUGCCAAGCCUCAUUGUACCAGGAUGGCGAGGGGCCCGUUGAUGUGAAACUUGCCAACAGAGAAGGGAAGAUUUCAAUGCCUCUGCUGCCCGGAUGCUGUCUAGGAAACAUAUCUCAACAGUUGGAGAAAUUCUCGUGCCUUCACUGCUCUGGGGCUUCCUGCUGCUUCCUCACUCCUCCGCCCCCACUCCCAUCCUAAUGAAUAUUCAGCCUGCAUCCUUCCAGGAGGAUUUUGAAUAGGAUGCUUCCUGUUUUUCCUAUUAAAGAUUGACUGUUGUCCUGGG